CUCGCAGCUCUGUCUCGCUCUCUCUUUUGAAUCACGAACCCGUAUUUUAGGUAUAUCUUCUAAAUAGGUGCUUGCAACCUUGAAGCUCUACAGGAUCGGCGACCUUGAAAAGUUGUCAAUUGUCCCCAACAAUAGUUAAAGAUGUCGGACAUACGGCCUCCAAACAAAGAUGUCGGACAUACGGCCUCCAAACGAAGAUGUCAGUUACUCGAGAGACCAGCUGUGGCAUGUGCCGUUCCCAUCUCCACCUCUGACUCCAAUUGCCACCCUAUUGCAUGUAUCCCAACGAUAGUUAUUGCUACCAUAUUGUAAUUAUAUUGCUCUCAUAUUGCCACUAGAUUGUCUGUAUAUUGCCCACAUAUUGUGGUUC